rnacentral:rRNA from 1 species
CGAUAGGGGAAUCCCAAGUGCGAGGGCAUAUUAGCCCUCGCUUUUCUCGACUGCAAGGUGGUCGACGAACAAGAGCUGGGCAAGACCGGUGCCAGCCGCCGCGGUAAUACCGGCAGCUCAAGUGAUGUCCCAUAUUAUUGGGCCUAAAGCGUCCGUAGCUGGCCAGACAAGUCCGUUGGGAAAUCCACGCGCUCAACGCGUGGGCGUCCAGCGGAAACUGCCUGGCUUGGGGCCGGAGGACUCGAGGGGUACGUCCGGGGUAGGAGUGAAAUCCCGUAAUCCUGGACGGACCACCGGUGGCGAAAGCGCCUCGAGAGGACGGACCCGACAGUUGAGGGACGAAAGCCAGGGUCUCGAACCGGAUUAGAUACCCGGGUAGUCCUGGCCGUAAGCGAUGUCUGCUAGGUGUGGCGC